rnacentral:rRNA from 1 species
UACGUAGGGGGCUAGCGUUGUCCGGAUUUAUUGGGCGUAAAGAGCGUGUAGGCGGCCAGGUAGGUCUGCUGUGAAAACUCGAGGCUCAACCUCGAGACGUCGGCGGAAACCAUCUGGCUAGAGUCCGGAAGAGGAGAGUGGAAUUCCUGGUGUAGCGGUGAAAUGCGCAGAUAUCAGGAGGAACACCAAUGGCGAAGGCAGCACUCUGGUACGUGACUGACGCUGAGACGCGAAAAGCGUGGGGGAGCGAACAGG